rnacentral:tRNA from 1 species
UAGCUGAGAUGGUAAAGAAUCUGCCUGCAAUGCAGGAGAACCAGGUUUGAUCCCUGG